CCCCAUUUAAGAGCUGACUGCCACUGGAGAAGGAUCUCUUUCUCAAGAUCCCUCUUUUGUGAAGCUUUUCAUUGCAAGCUUAAAUCUCCAGAUAUGGAGCUUUGUACACGUGGGUCUGGAUUCUGCAAAACUACUUUGGGAAGCUUUGAAGGCAAGUGCAAAAGAACAAUACUGCUGCUCCCUAGUGCUAUGAUCUGCAAGACUUUCUUCUCACAGAGAAAUGAAGCAUGCUGAAUGUAUACUCUGAGACAAAAAAAAAAAAAAACCAACAGGAUUCAUUAUUUCAGUCUCCCAAUUUAAUUAGAUGAGAGAAAUGUCUGUGGCUGAAAGCAGUUACUUGCAUUUUGUAAAUUUUUCAUUGCUUUUUACUUCGAGCCAUGUACAAAAAUAGUAAUUUGCUCUUGCAGAAACUGUCACUAUACCUGGAAUUUACAAUGAGCAAUACUUGCAAUAACUUAAUCAGAGAAAAUAAGUAAAAUUCAUGUGUUUCUUACCUUGCCUUGAGCAUGAUGGCUC
ensembl:lncRNA